CUUUUCCCUCAUACACUUCCGGCCGCCUCCCAGCCCCGCCUCCGCUGGCUCCGCCCCGUGCGUGGCCCUGGGGACCUCGCGCCCUCGCGCCGUUGUCACGGCUGCCCUCUGCUGUGCCUGAAGACAGAAGCGACUUUACACGCUUCUCUGCCUGAGCCGUCCAUUAAAAAAGACGAUGCAUGGGCUUCCCUAGUGGCGCAGUGGUUGAGAGUUCGCCUGCCGAUGCAGGGGACACGGGUUCGUGCCCGGUCCGGGAGGAUCUCACGUGCCGCGGAGCGGCUGGGCCCGUGAGCCAUGACCGCUGAGCCUGCGCGUCCGGAGCCUGUGCUCCGCAACGGGAGAGGCCACAACAGUAAGAGGCCCGCGUAUCGCAAACAAAAAAAUAAAAGACGAUGCAUCCCCCUGAGGGUGAGAGCAGUGUGAAGGCGGGGAAGCGACGAAAGAUGGCUGCACAUGAAUUCACUACAUUGAUGGUGGCAUGCCAAUAGGAUCCACAGAGCUGAAAAUAGCAGUUUAAAUUUCCAGUGUGAUUUCUUCUUAGGCCUGUUAGUUAUUUAUUUUAAAUGUACUUUUAAAUUUCCAAAUCUGGGACUUCCCUGGUGGUGCAGUGGUUAAGAAUCCGCCUGCCAAUGCAGGGGACACGGGUUCGAGCCCUGUUCCGGGAAGAUCCCACAUGCCGCGGAGCAUCUAAGCCUGUGCACCACAACUACUGAGCCUAUGCGCCACAACUACUGAAGCCCGCGUGCCUAGCAUCCGUGCUCCACAAUCAGAGAAGCCACCGCAAUGAGAAGCCUGUGCACCGCAACGAAGAGUAGCCCCCGCUCGCCGCAACUAGAGAAAAGCCCACGCACAGCAAUGAAGACCCAAUGCAGCCAAAAAUAAAUAAAUAUAUUUUUUUAAAAAAUUUCCAAAUGUAUGCUAUUUUUUGUUUG